rnacentral:rRNA from 1 species
GAUUUCCGAAUGGGGCAACCCAGUAUAUACAGAUAUAUACUACCAUAAUGGAGCGAACGAGGGGAAUUGAAACAUCUUAGUACCCUCAGGAAAAGAAAUCAAUAGAGAUUACGUCAGUAGCGGCGAGCGAAAGCGUAAGAGGGCAAACCCAGUGCUUGCACUGGGGGUUGUAGGACUGRAAUGUGCAAUAAGUAAGGUUAGUAGAACACUCUGGAAAGUGUAGCCAUAGAGGGUGAUAGUCCCGUAUACGAAAACCAAACUUUAGCUAGCAGUAUCCUGAGUAGGGCGAAACACGUGGAAUUUUGUCUGAAGCUGGGUCGACCACGAUCCAACCCUAAAUACUAAUACCAGAUCGAUAGUGCACAAGUACCGUGAGGGAAAGGUGAAAAGAACUGAGGUGAUCAGAGUGAAAUAGAACCUGAAACCAUUUGCUUACAAUCAUUCAGAGCACUAUGUAGCAAUACAGUGUGAUGGACUGCCUUUUGCAUAAUGAGCCUGCGAGUUGUGGUGUCUGGCAAGGUUAAGCACACGCGAAGCCGUAGCGAAAGCGAGUCUGAAUAGGGCGCUUAAGUCAGAUGCUGCAGACCCGAAACGAAGUGAUCUAUCCAUGAGCAAGUUGAAGCUAGUGUAAGAACUAGUGGAGGACUGAACCCAUAGGCGUUGAAAAGCCCCGGGAUGACUUGUGGAUAGGGGUGAAAGGCCAAUCAAACUUCGUGAUAGCUGGUUCUCUCCGAAAUAUAUUUAGGUAUAGCGUUGUGUCGUAAUAUAAGGGGGUAAAGCACUGAAUGGGCUAGGGCAUACACCAAUGUACCAAACCCUAUCAAACUCCGAAUACCUUAUAUGUAAUCACAGCAGUCAGGCGGCGAGUGAUAAAAUCCGUCGUCAAGAGGGAAACAACCCAAACUAUCAGCUAAGGUCCCCAAAUCUUACUUAAGUGGAAAACGAUGUGAAGUUACUUAAACAACCAGGAGGUUGGCUUAGAAGCAGCCAUCCUUUAAAGAAAGCGUAAUAGCUCACUGGUCUAGUGAUUUUGCGCGGAAAAUAUAACGGGGCUAAAGUAAGCACCGAAGCUAUAGACUUAGUACUAAGUGGUAGGAGAGCGUUCUAUUUGCGUCGAAGGUAUACCGGUAAGGAGUGCUGGAGCGAAUAGAAGUGAGCAUGCAGGCAUGAGUAGCGAUAAUUAAUGUGAGAAUCAUUAACGCCGUAAACCCAAGGUUUCCUACGCGAUGCUCGUCAUCGUAGGGUUAGUCGGGUCCUAAGUCGAGUCCGAAAGGGGUAGACGAUGGCAAAUUGGUUAAUAUUCCAAUACCAACAUUAGUGUGCGAUGGAAGGACGCUUAGGGCUAAGCAAGCUAGCGGAUGGAAGUGCUAGUCUAAGGAUGUAGGAGCUUAUACAGGCAAAUCCGUAUAAGAAUACUCCGAGAUCUUAAAGGCUCUUUGAAGUCUUCGGAUGGAUAGGAGAAUUGCUGAUGCCGUCGAGCCAAGAAAAGUUUCUAAGUUUAGCUAAUGUUGCCCGUACCGUAAACCGACACAGGUGGGUGGGAUGAGUAUUCUAAGGCGCGUGGAAGAACUCUCUUUAAGGAACUCUGCAAAAUAGCACCGUAUCUUCGGUAUAAGGUGUGGUUCGCUUUGUAUUAGAAUUUACUUCGAAAGCAAAGAAACUUACAACAAAGAGUCCCUCCCGACUGUUUACCAAAAACACAGCACUCUGCUAACUCGUAAGAGGAUGUAUAGGGUGUGACGCCUGCCCGGUGCUCGAAGGUUAAUUGAUGGGGUUAGCAUUAGCGAAGCUCUUGAUCGAAGCCCGAGUAAACGGCGGCCGUAACUAUAACGGUCCUAAGGUAGCGAAAUUCCUUGUCGGUUAAAUACCGACCUGCAUGAAUGGCGUAACGAGAUGGGAGCUGUCUCAAAGAGGGAUCCAGUGAAAUUGUAGUGGAGGUGAAAAUUCCUCCUACCCGCGGCAAGACGGAAAGACCCCGUGGACCUUUACUACAGCUUGACACUGCUAUUUGGAUAAGAAUGUGCAGGAUAGGUGGGAGGCUUUGAGUAAUAGACGCCAGUUUAUUAUGAGCCAUUGUUGAGAUACCACUCUUUCUUAUUUGGGUAGCUAACCAGCUUGAGUUAUCCUCAAGUGGGACAAUGUCUGGUGGGUAGUUUGACUGGGGCGGUCGCCUCCCAAAUAAUAACGGAGGCUUACAAAGGUUGGCUCAGAACGGUUGGAAAUCGUUCGUAGAGUAUAAAGGUAUAAGCCAGCUUAACUGCAAGACAUACAAGUCAAGCAGAGACGAAAGUCGGUCUUAGUGAUCCGGUGGUUCUGUGUGGAAGGGCCAUCGCUCAAAGGAUAAAAGGUACCCCGGGGAUAACAGGCUGAUCUCCCCCAAGAGCUCACAUCGACGGGGAGGUUUGGCACCUCGAUGUCGGCUCAUCGCAUCCUGGGGCUGGAGCAGGUCCCAAGGGUAUGGCUGUUCGCCAUUUAAAGCGGUACGCGAGCUGGGUUCAGAACGUCGUGAGACAGUUCGGUCCCUAUCUGCCGUGGGCGUAAGAAGAUUGAAGAGAUUUGACCCUAGUACGAGAGGACCGGGUUGAACAAACCACUGGUGUAGCUGUUGUUCUGCCAAGAGCAUCGCAGCGUAGCUAAGUUUGGAACGGAUAAACGCU